AGUGUAUCACUGGUUCUGAAAAGUGUAUCACUGGAAAUAUCAAUUAACUGACAUUUGAUACAACAAAGUGCGGAUGAAUAAUGAAACUGAUCAACAAAAAAGAACCACAACAAAGUGCUAAUGAAUAUCAAGAAAAUAAACAAAAACAUCAAAACUACACAAGGCGUUUGGAAAUACUGGGGUAUUGGACAAUUGUUUCCUCCAUGUAACUACCACCAAUGAUCAGAUCCUUUGUACUGGCCACAGACCUAAAUCACUAUCAGGAAUAGAACAGACCAACCAAUAUGAAAAUAAAACAAAACAGUAGUAUGUAGACAGAUUCCAGACACAGACAACAGUUUUCUAAGACGUACAUCCCUACACGCAAUCCACAUCAAAUCACUCUUGGACUUGAUCAAUAUUUAUCCAGUUGUGUUCUGCAAGACCAAACAAGUCCUCGUGUCGGUUUCAAUUCAUCUCUAAUUGUACAAUGCAAACAUUACUAUUCUACAUGUAGAUCACAAAAUUAAGUUUAGAUUUGUGCUACACCAUGUUAUGAACAACAGCUGCAAUAUUUCAUAUAUCACUGCUGUUGUAUUUGAACAAUAAGACCAUGUGUUUUCAUUAUUUGGUCUCAAUUUUUAUUCAAGCUGGACUACAACAAAAUGUUUCAGCUGUAAUAAUGCUGUUAUUCAUACCAUUCACUUAAAUUGUGUGCUUUAUAUUGUGUAGGUGUAUAUAAAAAGAUUUCUUGAAUAUCUGUUUAACUCAGUUAGUCACUUAGAAUAUUUGCAAAUAAACCUCUGCCAUUUGGAGUAAGACUUAAAACAAGAAUGUGAUAAAAGCACAUGAUUGAUGUCAUCAGCAACUCAUGAUUCUCAGCAAAUUAAUGUUGAUUUAUUGUAACAGGUAAGUAUCUGAAAGUGGGGUCACUGGCAUGGCAGUAAAUGCCUGUAAACCCUUUCUUUCCAUGUCAUGUUGCUCAAAUAGCUGAAGAACAUUCUGAGUAAUUUCAUGAUGAUAUAUCAGGUGCUCAUGGUCUAGUUCCAUGGCAUGCCUUCUAUAUUUUUUGGUGUGUCAUUAAAAACGACUUAACUGAUUUAUAAAACUUUUUUAAACAACUUAAACUAUAUUGUCAAUUUCAUGCAAAUUGACUCAUAUGUGCUCAGUGUGGCAUUAGACAAGAUGAUAAUAUUCAUAUUGUGUUUAUAUGGGAAAUUGAGCCAUACACUUUCCAUGAAGUAUGUACAUCAUAGGUAUAGUUCUGUACACCUAUCAUACAAUCUUGUGCUAAAUAUGUCUAUGAAACAUCACAUUAUAUCAUUGUUCAUUCACUAAUUGCU